UCCUGGUUAACCCAGGCAGUCUCAUUAGAGUUCCCACCUAAAAUGUUGGCAACUAAUGAUAAGGGUUGCGCUCGUUGCUGGACUUAACCAAACACCUCACGGCACGAGCUGACGACAGCCAUGCAGCACCUGUGCAAAGGCCCCGAAGGGAAUUACUAUCUCUAGUAACGUCCUCUGCAUGUCAAGACUGGGUAAGGUUCUUCGCGUUGCAUCGAAUUAAACCACAUGCUCCACUGCUUGUGCGGGUCCCCGUCAAUUCUUUUGAGUUUCAGCCUUGCGACUGUACUCCCCAGGCGGUAUACUUAUCGCGUUCGCUACGGCACAACUAGGGUUGAGUCCAGUUACACCAAGUAUACAUCGUUUACGGCAAGGACUAC
rnacentral:misc_RNA from 1 species